UUAUGUGGUCAAGCUACUAAGGGCGCAUGGGGGAUGUCUUGGCAUCAGGAGGCGUUGAAGGGCGUGGAAGUCUGCGAAAAGCCCGGGGGAGCUGUCAAACGAGCGUUGAUCCCGGGAUUCCUGAACUGGCACGUGCUGAAUCCAUAGGCACGUGUGGCAAACGUGGUGAACUGAAACAUCUCAGUAACCACAGGAAAAGAAAGAAAAAUCGAUUCCGUCAGUAGCGGCGAGCGAAAGCGGAACAGCCCAAACCGCGGG
rnacentral:rRNA from 1 species